rnacentral:rRNA from 1 species
UACGUAGGGGGCAAGCGUUGUCCGGAUUUAUUGGGCGUAAAGAGCGUGUAGGCGGCCAGACAGGUCUGCUGUGAAAACUCGAGGCUCAACCUCGAGACGCCGGUGGAAACCGUCUGGCUAGAGUCCGGAAGAGGAGAGUGGAAUUCCCAGUGUAGAGGUGAAAAUUCGUAGAUAUUGGGAAGAACACCGGUGGCGAAGGCGGCUCUCUGGACCGAUACUGACGCUGAGGCGCGAAAGCGUGGGGAGCAAACAGG